GGGUCAGUAGGUUGGUCGUGCCACCGGUACGUACUGGUCUCACUGAUUCCUCCUUCCUGAAGAACCGUAAUGCCAUUAAUUUGGUGUUGCGGGGAAACAGGACUGUUACUUUGAAAAAUUUAGAGUUUUUAAAGCAAGCUAACGCUUGAAUACAUUAGCAUGGAAUAAUGAAAUAGGACGAUCGAUCCUAUUUUGUUGGUUUCUAGGAUUGACGUA
rnacentral:rRNA from 1 species